GACGAACGCUGGCGGCGUGCCUAAUACAUGCAAGUAGAACGCUGAAGGAGGAGCUUGCUCUUCUGGAUGAGUUGCGAACGGGUGAGUAACGCGUAGGUAACCUGCCUGGUAGCGGGGGAUAACUAUUGGAAACGAUAGCUAAUACCGCAUAAUAGUAGAUGUUGCAUGAUAUUUACUUAAAAGGUGCAAUUGCACCACUACCAGAUGGACCUGCGUUGUAUUAGCUAGUUGGUGGGGUAACGGCUCACCAAGGCGACGAUACAUAGCCGACCUGAGAGGGUGAUCGGCCACACUGGGACUGAGACACGGCCCAGACUCCUACGGGAGGCAGCAGUAGGGAAUCUUCGGCAAUGGACGAAAGUCUGACCGAGCAACGCCGCGUGAGUGAAGAAGGUUUUCGGAUCGUAAAGCUCUGUUGUAAGAGAAGAACGAGUGUGAGAGUGGAAGGUUCACACUGUGACGGUAUCUUACCAGAAAGGGACGGCUAACUACGUG
rnacentral:rRNA from 1 species